GAUGGGGAGCGGGUUUCGGUCCCUUGAGGCCUGUCGGGAAUAAAAACUGCGGGAUGUGCUAGCUUCCAAAUCAACCUGGGGUUUUGGGGUAUGGAAACGUGCUCGGAAUCAAUGCGGCUUGCUGUCUGAGGAGGUCGCUGUGGUGUUCAUGAAGAAUAACAUUGCUGAAGUUAUUUUGGGUGUGAAAGUGAAGUUUUGUUAGUGAAAUAACCUUCCAGAUCGGUGUAGAGCGUGGUUUGCACGAAGGAAUUGAAUCUGAGGAAGAAUCUCUUGACGCUAAAGGUGGCAGGACACUUGGAGCACAGGCUCAUGGAGGUCAUGAAAUCUCCUUCUCUAGAGGAGACUACCUGAUUCAAAACCUGGCUGGAUGCUCUCCUGUGUCAUUCGCGUUUGAUAACCCUGCCUUGGCUAGGGGGCUGGACUAGAUGAUCUCCGGAGGUCCCCUCCAGCCCUAACGAUUCUCUGAAUUCUUUGUCUGGUAAUGUGGUUUGUGCUAGUGAAUUAAAAUGCCUUAAUAAUAUUUUUGGGUUCAAAUUGACAAAGUAGUUUAAUUUCUGUAGGUUUGGGGUUUGGCGGGGGGGAUGUUUUGGUUUGAUUGGGCUUUUUUUGUUUGGGUUUUUUUUAGAAAGUAAACUUUUUUUAUUGUUUUGCAAAAAGAAGUCUCUCUUCUUUUUUUGCAAGCUUCUUUUUUUGUCUUCUUGCUGCAGUGCUGAUGAUGCAUAUGAAUGAUCUAGUUGAUGCUCCUUAAAGAUUAAUGGAGAAAUAACAGAAAUGCCAUGUUUUCAAUAGAUUCUGCUCUUCUGUAAUCAUCUAGUAGUAAUAAUAAUGAAGUGUGUGUACAUAAAUGAAUUUGAAAUAAUGUUUGCAGACCUGACAAUGUUACCUGUGUGAUAAGCAGGAUCAAAAACUAGUGCUCAAAAACCAGUCACAGAUUUGAUACUCAACUCAAGAACUUGGAAUUAGACCAGAACUGUGUCCUGUCUUUAAGACUAUUUUAGUACCUAGUGCUGGCAAACUUACGUGAUGAUAAAGAGGUAAGCUGAAAACAGAUUUAUUUACUAAAACUUACAGCAGGAAUACAGAAAUUCUUAAUGUGAAGAGGUAUAAGCUUUCCAGUCAGUUUUGAGCCUCUCUGAAUUUUUCAUCUUGUUCUACUAAUGACAUUUUAGAGAAUUGCAUUUAGAGGUCCUGUUGGGAAAGAAAAAAGGUUUUCCAACUUACUUUUUGUGCAAUGGUAAAUCGUGGUGUCAGGGUAGUUGCAACUUUCUAAUUCCUAUGACUGUGGUGCUGGUCCACUCAGAUUAUCAGAUUAUUUUGCUGAGACACAGGAGAUUGUAUCUCCUGUGUUUCCAAGUCCUCCAUCUUCAGAGUAGAGUCAACAGUUGUCCAUUCCAGAGAAGGAGGUGUCACUUCUUCCACCCCUGCCUGGUGCUCAUCAGAACCAUUGCUAAGCCAGGAUACCUCACUAACCAGCAGAAAGCCAGCCGCUGCUCUGGUGUGGUGUAAGGGUUUGUGCUUUUUUUUUUUUCAAACUAGCAUUAAUCUUCACCAGAUUAUUAAUUAGAAUGUUUCACUGACAAGUCCAGUGACUGCUAGGGUAAUCUUAAUGCAGGAGGGUAGGGAAAUUUAAUGCAGAGCACUAAAAUAUUUAAUAGCCACAAUAGUGAGCUGAUUCUAUAGGUUUUCACUAAAAAUCUUAAGACUUUCUCACAAUUUCUCACUGAUUUCUGCUCUUGGCUUAACAUGUUACGCCCCUAGAAAGUGCACUCUUCUAUUGUCAUGAUACCGUCAUAUAAUUCACAAAGGUGUCAAUUUUUAAUUUUUAAAGUUUUUUAGAAAGUAAAAGUAACAGAAUAAACCAGUUACUCAGGAUUGAUUGAGAUACGUCGUCUUCUAUUGUCAUUCAAUCUGUCCUUGUUAAUAAACGUAUUCCUUCACUGGC